UCACAUAUACGAUCUGCUGGGAAUUAGGUGACCCUCUCUGUGGGGGAUUGUCCUUAUUUGGACACUGUAAGUGGAUUAUGUGCUUCUUCAAUUCAGGUACUAAUCGAAGACCUCGAAACUGAGGAUCAGAUAUGUUUAUUUUCAUCAUUCUCUUGGCUCUAGACGUUGAGGGGUAGCAGUGACUGUUAUCAAUGAUCUGCUAGCUUCUUAUCUUCCGAUUUGUGAUCAUCCCGCUUCCGCAAGAUGUUGUAGUAGACACGCUAUGUUAGAUGUCGCCUUUGCUGAAAUCAUUGCGGGGUUGGUACCUUAUAUAGUAAAGACUAGCUAAACGAUCCCCGUCAGGUUCAUGAGGAAGUCAAUCAAAAGAAACGAUCCAGAAGUUUGUUGAAACAUUCUCAAUCAGCUCAUCUUCUGGGAAGAAUUUUCUUUGCCGGGCUUCAGUGAUCUGCUAGCUUUGUUGUCUUUCCUCUGGUGAUCAUCCCAAGAUCUUGGAGCAGUUGACUUGCCCUGCCUCUGCAGAAAUUUGAGGGGAGGCCUGCCCAGUCACUGAUGGACGGGGAUAGAACAAGGAAGAGAGGGGACUAAGUCGCAGUGGAGCCAUUUAUCACUGUUUGCAUUUCGCUAUGGAAUACAGCUCAAAAAGAACCCGAAACUGUCUAUAGUCAAUUAAUUCUGAGAUCAUGGAGAUCGGAACAACCCCUUAUUUGAGCUGGCUGCGUCUCUGCCUGCAAUUAAAGUAUAUAUGUUGCUUGGAGGUGUCAUAUGUCUUACGUUCUCUAUAGAUGUUUCCAAGCCUUGGGAUAAGAGAAGUUAGCAAGGCUUUUCCCACACUGCAACGCAACUAUUUUAUUCAUCAGCAGUGGACCGGUGAAGCUUGCUGCUGCUGUGAGAGAUUCCUGGAUCGUGGAUAGCUUAAAAGAUGGUUAAGUCGGAGCUAGUGAACUGCUGCUUCUGGGAUUAGUGCUGAGGAGAUUUUGACCCAUAUUAGCUCUUUGAAUUGUGUGCAGUUUCAGCAUGUACUUUUUUGAGGAACUUCUAUGGUGUUCAUGUAUGUUUGCCCGAAAUGUUUAUUCUCCAGAUACGAGGAAUCGACAAUGGGGAAAUUAAAAGUUCCUCAUGUGCUUUGAGAAUCUAACUUCGCAGGACAGGGGAGAUGCAUAUGCUGGUAAUAAGUUUGAUUAAUAUGUUGACAUGACAAGAAUUGGAGUUCUACUGCUUCAUUUAGAUUAUCACUUCCAGUAUCGUGCUCUGCCUGCUGUGCCAUGCUAUAUGGCCUUACUCUUCUCGACAGAUUAAAAUGAGCCUUGGUGAUGGCUCUUGGGUCGCCUGAAAAAUUCGAACCAUUGCACGAGUUACAUGUAUCGUAUUACAAAAUUGAGACAUUUAGAAUUCAAAUUGUGUUGCCCAGUGGGUUGUGGAGUCCAUUCAUCUUCAGUAUUCAGAUGAGGUCUUUCUGGAG